rnacentral:lncRNA from 10 species
UCCCUUGAGCCUACACAUUGCUUCUUGCAGGUCAGCAGGGUGCUGAUUUGACUGUGGAAGCCCUUCUCCAGGCCAUGCUCUGUCUCUCCAAGGAGAAAAUGCAGAGAUGCUGGCAGGGCCUCCCAACAUAAGUCACAGAGCAAGAGAGCCUGAUCGUUCCCAGGACACAGAGCAAAGUGGAGGAAGCUGCAAGAUGGAUCUGGGAGAGUGAAGAGAAGAUACCCUAGCACAAUCCCCUACUCCUCCCCCAAAAUGAAAUUAAAACAAUGAAAACAGAAGCAAAUGGAAAAAGCAAAGCAAUAAAAUAAAUGAAAUUAUAUAUGUGUGUGUAUAUAUAAAAUACAUGUUUUUUAAAAAAUCAAAACAAAAAACACCCAUCAAGAGGUCACAAACUGGAGGCCGGGCACGGUGGCUCACGCCUGUAAUCCCAGCACUUUGGGGGCUGAGAUGGGCAGAUCACCUGAGGUCAGGAGUUCGAGACCAGCCUGACCGACAUGGUAAA